UCAUUAAAACUAGAUCAGAUGAAAGAGAAGACAUACAAAAGAAAACCUUCACAAAAUGGAUAAAUUCACAGCUUAUUAAGGCAGGAAGAACUCCUAUUAAUGACCUCUUUACAGAUCUGUGUGAUGGCCAUCGCCUUCUGGAGCUUUUGGAAGGCUUGACUGGGAAUGAAUUGGCCAAAGAGCGUGGUUUUACCCGUGUGCACUCACUCAAUAAUGUCAACAGAGUGCUACAGAUUCUUCAGAAGAAUAAUGUUGAAUUGGUAAAUAUAGGAGGAGCUGACAUUGUUGAUGGCAAUCAUAAAUUGACUCUGGGACUCAUCUGGAGCAUAAUCCUUCACUGGCAGGUGAAGAAUGUGAUGAAAGAUGUUAUGGCACACUUAAAGCAAACCAACAGUGAGAAGAUCCUUUUGAGCUGGGUUAGGCAGUCAACCAAGAGCUACCCACAGGUCAAUGUUGUAAACUUCUCUAGCAGCUGGAAUGAUGGUCUGGCCUUUAAUGCUCUUAUCCAUAGCCACAGGCCAGAGCUGUUCGAUUGGAAUGUGGUGGAACAAAUGGACAAAGCUUAUGAGAGGUUAAAUCAUGCCUUCUCCAUUUCUGAAAGGAAUUUGGGCAUCGACCGGCUGCUUGACCCUGAGGAUGUAGCUACAGCUUCUCCAGAUAAGAAGUCCAUAAUUAUGUACAUCACCUCCCUGUUCCAAGUUCUGCCCCAUGGUGUGAGUAUGGAGGCCGUAGAGGAGGUUGAGACUCUCCCCCAAACUUUAAUUACUAAAGAGAAGCAUUUCCACUUUCAAACACAACAGCGCUACUCGCAGCAGAUCACAGUCAGUGUGGCUCAGAGUCAGGUACGCAGCCAGUCUCCUUCAAAUAAAUUACGCUACAAAAGCUACGCCUUCACGCAGGCUGCAUAUGUUCGGUCUCCUGAUCAGACAAGAAGGACCCCGGUUACUCUGUCUUCAGAAAGCCCAGAGGAUAUGUUGUCUUCACCGGGUCCUCUCCAACCUGACACAAACCAGCUAGAAAAUUACCAGAAUUCCCUGGAAGAGGUCUUGACAUGGCUUUUGUCUGCUGAGGAUGGCCUGCAAUCUCAGCCACCCAUCUCCUCUUUUGUAGAAGAAGUAAAAGAGCAAUUUCACACUCAUGAGCGUUACAUGAUUGAGCUAACUGCUCAUCAGGGAAGUGUAGGUAAUGUGCUGAAGGCAGGGAGCAUCCUCUUGGCUGAAGGUCAGCUGACUGAAGAUGUGGAGAAUGAAAUUCGGGAGCAGAUGAAUUUGUUAAACUCUCGCUGGGAACAUUUACGAGUGGCCAGUAUGGAACGACAAAGCAGGCUUCAUGAAGUUUUAAUGGACCUGCAGAAUCAGCAGCUGAAACAGCUCUCCACCUGGCUAGACGUAACCGAAGCUCGAAUUAAGCAAAUAGAAGCUCAGCCUUUGGGUCCUGACCCUGAAAAUAUAAAACAUCAAAUUGAAGAGCACAAGCUGUUACAAGAGGAUCUGGAAACGGAGCAGGUGCGAGUAAAUUCUCUGACUCACAUGGUUGUCGUUGUGGAUGAAAGCAGUGGAGACAGUGCUACAGUGGCACUGGAAGAGAAACUGCAGAAUCUUGGACAGCGAUGGGAAACCAUCUGUAAAUGGACAGAAGAGCGUUGGAUGCUUCUUCAGAAGAUUCUGAGGAGCUGGCAUCAUUUUACUGAGGAACAGCAUACGUUUGAGUCCUGGUUAACUCAGAAGGAACAGUUGUUGCUUUCCAUCCAGAGUUGUGACUCCACUGAUCACAAUGAAGUAAUGGCCAAUCUCAGAAAGCUUGCUAUUUUGAAAGCAGACAUUGAGCUCAAAAGACCCACCAUGGACAAACUUUGCUCCCUUGUUCAAGAUCUCUUGUCAAGCAUGAGGAAUAAGCAGACAUCAGAAAAACUUGAAGCACAGUUAGAAAAGUUAGCUCAACGGUGGGACAAACUAGUACAGUCCCUUCAGCUCACCAGCAUCAAGCUUCCUACAAGUCCUACUCCAUCCCAGUCUGAAAGUACAGACACGACAGUUGAAACCAGCAAUAUUAUGCAUCAGAAAAAAGUGGUGAAGCAUACUAAAGACCGUCUGACUACUCCUCCACCUCAAAAGAAGCGUCAGAUUGUUGUGGACUCAGAGCUUCGCAAGAGGUUUGAUGUAGAUUUUACAGAGAUUCACAGUUUUAUGACCCGCUCAGAAGCCACCUUGCAGAGUCCUGAAUUCUCAAUUUCACGCAAAGAGGGCAGUGUUGCAGACCUCUAUGAGAAAGUCUUGGCAAUUGAUAAAGAAAAACCAGAGAGGUUUAGAAAGUUACAAGAAGCUACACGGUCAGCUCAGGCCCUAGUAGAUCAGCUCACAAGUGAUGGCCAAAACUCUGAUGAUAUUCAGCAAGCUGCUCAGCAGUUACAUGCCCGGUGGGUUGAGUUUUGUUCUCUGCUGGCCGAGAGGCUAGCAUGGCUGGCCUACCAGACUAAACUACUGGCUUUCUACAAUCUCUUUCACAACUUGGAGCAAAUAGUAUCAAAUUCAGAGAACUGGCUAAAAAUUCAGCAGCCUCCAGCCUGUGAGCCAGAGCUACUGAGGAUCCAACUUGAGCGCUGCAGGGAUGAGAUUGCUCGACUGUCAGUGCUUGAGCCAGAAAUGAAGCACUUACAUGAACAACUCCAGGAGCUAAGGGAAAAGGAGGAAAAACAGGUGCUCUUUGAUGCUGAUACAGCUGCAUUUCAGGAGCACUACCAAAGUGUUCUUGCUGACCUACGGGCAAGAGAGAAACAGCUUGUAUUAGUCCAGACUAGCCUUCCACCUGCACACUACAAGGACGUAAUGGCAACCCUAAUGGCAUGGCUCCAACAAUGUGAAGACAAACUACCUUCUACAGCUGUAACUGAGUACCCUAUCAUGGAGCAAAGGCUGAAAGAUACCAUGGCAAUUCAAGCAGCACAACAAGAGCAGCAGAGUAAAAAGGAUGAUCUCAGUAGGAUGGCUGAACAGGUGUACCAGAAAGCCCCCCCGGAAAUAUCUCAAAAGUAUCACAUUGAGAUGGACAAUAUGAUGGCCUGUUGGAGACAUAUGUGGGAUCAACUAAGAGAAAACAUAGAGCUGUUGCAGGGUCACAUAUCCAUGCUGCAGCAGUUCCAGAAUGACACAAAGACCCUGCAGAAGUGGAUGGCUAAGGUUGAUGUUUUUCUGAACGAGGAGUGGCCAGCUUUAGGAGAUUCAGAGGCUCUGGAGAAGCAGCUAGAACAGUGCACGGCCUUAGUUAAUGACAUUCACACUGUCCAACCUAGUCUUAAUGGCAUCAAUGAGGUUGGACAGGUCUUGAAAAAAGACGCAGAGCCACCAUUUGCUGUGAAAAUACAGAAGCUGCUUGAUGAACUCAAUUCUCAGUGGGAACUGAUUUGCAAACAGGCGUAUGCGAAGAAAUCUGCCUUGAAAGGUGGACUGGAUAUGACAGUGAGUUUAAAGAAGGAGAUGCAAGAGAUGCAAGAGUGGAUUACACAAGCAGAGGAAGAUUACCUGGAGAGGGAUUUUCAUUAUAAAACACCUGAAGAACUUCAUACAGCAGUGGAGGAACUUAAGCGAGCUCAAGAAGAAAUACACCAGAAAGAAAUAAAGGUAAACCUUUUGGAAGAUAAAGUGACCAGUUUUAUUGCAAAGGCACCACCCACAGCCCAUGAGGCCCUAAAGAAAAAACUAGAUGAGUUGACGUCCAACUACCAAAGACUGUGCAGUCGGCUUGAUGGAAAGUGCAAGACUUUAGAGGAGGUGUGGGCUUGCUGGUGUGAAUUGCUGUGCUACUUAGAACAGGAAAACUCUUGGCUGGAUCUACUAGAACAGAAACUUAAUGAGACGGAGAACUUUCAAGGGGGAGCAGAUGAAUUAAAUGAAGCUCUGACUUCCUUAGAUAUCAUGGUAAAAGAGCAUCCUGAAUAUAACCGCAACCAAAUACGUGAGUUGGCCCAGACCCUUAUGGAUGGAGAAGUCCUUGAUGAACUCAUUCAUAAGAAAGUGGAAGAUUAUAACAUUCACUGGGAUGAACUUAUGGAAAGGGUUUUACAAAGACGAAAGCAGCUAGAGAAGAGCUUGCAGUGGGCAAACGAACAUGACAAAACUCUGCGUCAAAUCCAAGAUUCUUUAAAGGCAACUGAUCGUCAUUUAACUGCAUAUCUUGCGGAUGGUAUAGAUGCUGCUCAGAUACCACAGGAAGCUCAGAAAAUUCAAACUGAACUGAUUGAUCAUGAAGUGGCUCUAGAUGAUAUGAAGAAACGAUCCAGUGGCGAUGCCUCAGAAAAAAUGGUCCCUGAGGUUGAUGCUACAUAUGCUAAGUUAUUGGAUGUGAAAGCAAAGUUCCGACUUUUUCAAAAGCCGGCCAACUUUGACCAGAGGUUGCAAGAAUGUGAAUGUAUAUUGGAAGAAGUGAAGAAUCAGCUGGGGGUGCUAAGCAUCCACAGCUUGGAGCAGGAUGUGGUGCAGUCCCAGCUGGAACAGUGCAUGAAGUUGUAUAAGUCUCUAAGUGAAGUGAAAUCGGAAGUGGAGAUGGUAAUCAAGACAGGAAGGCAAGUAGUGCAGAGACAGCAGACUGAACAACCCAAAGAGCUGGACGAGCGUUUGACACAUCUCAAGCUCUUAUACAACGACUUGGGUUCACAGGUGACAGAAGGAAAGCAAGCACUAGAAAAAAGUUUGAAGCUAUUGAGAAAAUUUAAAAAAGAAACAAAAAGUCUAACAGAAUGGUUAGCAGCGGUUGAUAAUGAACUGACCUGUCGGUCGUCGGUGGAAGGGAUGCCAAGUGACCUAGAAGCAGAGCUGACGUGGGCCAAGGCCACAAAUAAGGAUACAGAGCAACGCACUCCCCAACUGUGUUUAGUAAGAGAUUUAGCAGAGGCCCUGAAAGCACUGCUCACAGAAGAAAACCUAAUUGAUGACAAAGUCAGCCUGUUGAACAGCAACUGGAUUGCUGUGACAUCACGCAGUGAACAGUGGCUACAUUUGUUGCUGGAUUACCAGAAUCAAAUGAAUACACUGGAACAGAAUAUUGCUCAUAUAAAUGCCUGGAUGGAUGAGGCUGAGAUUCAGAUGGACAAGAUGGAGGAUGAGGGCUGCAAGAACCAUGUCCUCAAGAGUCUACAAGCAGAAUUGGAAGAAAUGCGUGGGAAGGUAAUGGAGGUGCACAAUCUUGGAGAAGACAUCAUUAAAAACAGGGGGGAACAAUGCAGAAUUCACAUAGAGCCCAAGCUGAAUCAGCUCAGCCAACGCUUUGAAAUGAUUUCCAGAAGGAUUCUACAUGGACAGGCUUCCUCUCAAGAAGUAGAAGAGUACCACAGGCAAGCUAAUAAGUGGUUACUUCAGCUUGAAGAAGAGAUAAAAAUUGGUGAAAUUCUUAAAGAAGAUGAUUUCAUAGGAGAUACAUUUGCUGAUGAAGAUGAACUGAAGGACCUGUUCGUAAAAGGAGAAGAUCUCAUUCGGAGGACGACAGAUCCAGCAAAGUUAACUGUUUCUCAAAAACAUAAUUUGCUCCAUGAUAAAUACAACACCUUGAAGAACCUGAAAGCACUUAAGAGGAAGAAGGCACUUGCUUUUGCCCCACAGUGGUACCAGUUCUGUGAGAAGUCAGAGGACAUGAUGCACUGGCUUGACAGAAUUGAGAAGAUGCUGGCUGAACCACAUGAUUCUGCAAAUCAACCAAGAGUGGAGAUUGCCGAUGAGAUUGAACAGCAGCGUCCAGUACUUGAGGAUGUGCAAAGACUUGGUCACAAGCUCUCAGAAGAGGGCUUUAUUAAACUCGUGGAACCCCGCCUCAUUCCCAUUAAUAAGCGCUGGGAACAGCUGAAUAUAAAAUUUACUGAACUCCAUCAUGUCAGUGAACUGCAAGCAUUACUGCAUACCAUUGAUGAAAAUGAUGCAGUGCUAAACUCUUCUAAGUGCUGGUUAGACAAUGAAAAUACAUCGCAACAAGAAAAGUGCCUUAAGGAAGUAAAGCAUACUUUGGACACUCUUGAAUCUCCAGUCACACAGGCUUUAGAAAAGAAAAACAUACCCCCUCAUGUAAAUCCACUUGUUGUUCUUCUCAGUACCAAGUGGGAGAAGCUGAAGAAGCUCUAUCAGGAUAGGCUCAGAUACUUUGAAAAAUGCAAGAAAUAUAGGGAGGUGUUAAAAAACACCCAGGGUUGGUUGACUGUUGCAGAAAAAACAUUGUUGAAGUAUGAAGAAGAUCCAAACAUCCAUGCAAGCCAGAUCAAGGAACUGCAGGAAGACUUGGAAAAUCAAGAGCUUGCAAUAAAAGAGUUUAACGAACUAGGUGAGGAACUGGUCUUGCAGGGUAGAAAAGAUAAUGAAGAACAGGUUAAAAAUCAACUAGAUGCCGUCAAUAUUCGCUGGACUACAGUGUUCAAUCAACUGUCUGAAAUAAGGAGAAGGUCAGCAGGGGAAAAGAUUGUUCUUGCUGAGCUUCACGAAGUUAUGGGGGAAUUUCAGUCUUGGCUUGAUAAAGCAGAGUCUGUUGCUAACCUGCCAGUAGAACCAGACCAUAGGGAACAGCUCAACAAUGCAUUAGAAAAAGUUCAGGCUCAAGUAACUCAAUUACCAAGCAAAAUGCAAAUAUUAAACAAAAUAAAAACAAAAUCUUCAUUCCUGUCUCCUGAUAUGAACAAGGUUAUGGCGAACAAUUUUAAGAUUAUCAAUAUGCGAUGGGCCAAGGUGUCAUCUAACCUUCCUGAAAAGCAGCAACAGAUUGAGAAUCACUUGAGAGAUUUGAAUCUGUACCACAAGCUCUCCAGCUGGGCCUCUGCAACUAAGGGCCUACUUGAGCAAUCACCUGAAGCGAUAGAACAUAAGAUUGAUGACAUCCAGUCCAAGAAGCCAGAAAUUGAAACAGUUUUGGCCAAGGAUAGACCACAAUAUCAGCCUGAAAGGGGCCAGUUUGAUAAACUCAGUGCAGACUGGAUGAUCAUUCAGGUGCUGCUUAAGGAGUGGAAAACCAAAUGUCAAGUGACAACUGAAUACUUGACAAGCAGCGUCCCAGAUGUUUCAACAAUGGAUACAUUCACUCGUUCAAAUACUGAACUCAAUGACUGGCUCUCUCAUCUCGAUCACAUGAUCAUAAAACAGCGGGUGACAGUAGGAGAUCUCAGUGAAAUCAAUGACCUUAUUAUAAAACUCAAGUCAGCAAGAAAUGAAAUGGACCAGAGGUGCCAACAGCUGAAUAAACAGAUCACUGCUGCUGAAAACCUUAAAAACAAAACCAACAACCCUCAGAUGCGUGCUACAAUUACAGAUCAAAUUGAGAAAUUACAAGCACACUGGGAAGACUCACAUAGCAAGUUAAUGGACAGGAUAAUUCAACUUCAGAAUAUGUAUCAAGACUCCAAGGAUUGGCUGGAUGCCAAGAAUGUGGUGGAGGCUCACGUAAAACAAGCCAAUGAAAAACUAGAAGGUUGUAAGCAAGUCACACCGAGUGGCGACCACGCAAACGUUAAGAAAAUUGUUAUGGAUAUACAGAUGUGGCAAGCAGAAGUUGACAUGACUAAUGAACUGGCAAACAAACUACUGGACCAUUAUUCAGAUGAUGACACAAGCAAGAUUAAACAGAUAACUGAGAAUAUGAAUCUUGCUUGGGGCAGGAUCAAAAAAGGUGCAGGGGAUACAGAGGCAGACAUAGAGGCCAAACUACAGCAAAUGGAACAUUUUUAUGCAGACCUGGAAAUGUUUUGUAACUGGCUAACUGAAGCAGAGACUACAGCAAAUGUCUUACAAGGUGCUACAAACAAAGAAUGUCUUCUUGAGAAUGCAGCCAAAGUGCGACAGUUGCUAGACCAAUGGCAAGACCUCCAGAGGGAGAUUGACACCCAAACAGAUACAUAUCAUUCACUUGAUGAAAAUGGGCAGCGUAUUGUGGCAUCGCUAGGAAGGGCAGACAAUGCUGUAGUGCUGCAAAAACAACUUUACAACAUGGGAAGGCGCUGGCAGGACUUGUGUAAAAAAGUUAAUAGUAUGAGCCAUCACUUAGGUGAUAGUAUGGAACAGUGGAAGCAUUUUCACAUAUCCUUACAGGGUUUCCUGCAGUGGAUACAGCUUAGGAGGGAGGAGCUGGAGCAACAGAAACCAGUUGGGGGAGACAUUCCUUCAGUUCGUCAGCAACUAAUCACUCAUAAGGAUUUCAGGAGAGAGCUAAGUGCAAAAGAACCUUCAAUAAAUAGAGCUCUGGAUAAUGUGAAGAGUUUUCUGAUUGAGAUUCCAGGUGAAGAAAGGAAAGAAACCCCCACUGAAAGAGGUGUCAGCUCAGAGGAGAGAAUUCAAAACGUAGAGCGCAUUUUGCGUAAGGAAGCAGAAGACAUUAACAAACUUUGGAUAAACCUUGGUACAGCUGCAGCAGACUGGCAACAACAGCUGGAAUUAGCUUUGGAGAGACUGGUAGAACUUCAAGCUACAGCGGAUCAAUUAGAGAUAAAGCUACAACAAGCAGAAAUUGAAAAAAAUUCUUGGGACCCAGUUGAAAACUUGCUUGUUGACAAUUUAAGUGACCAAAUCGACAUGGUUAAGGUAUUCCAGGAGACCAUAGCUCCGAUUCAGGAUGACGUAAAUCAAGUCAACAAAGUAGCCUCUCAGUUAAAAAAGCCUGGUAUUCAACUUUCACCAGAAAAUCUGAAGAGAAGUGAUGAUCUCAGUAGGCGAUGGCGACUUUUGCAGAUAUCAAUAGAAGAACAUCUGUCCCAACUUAUUGAGGCCCACAAAGACUUAGGACCCAGUUCUCAGCAGUUUCUAGAAGUGUCCGUACAAAGUCCUUUUGAACGCUCUGUUUCUCCAAACAGUGUUCCUUAUUAUAUAAACCAUCUAACACAAACAACUUGUUGGGACCAUCCAAAAAUGGCUGAAUUGUACCAGUCCUUAGCGGAUCUCAACAAUGUACGAUUUUCAGCAUACAGAACAGCAAUGAAGUUACGACGGUUGCAAAAAGCUCUGUGCUUGGAUCUACUGGGAAUGUCAGCAGCAUGUGAAGCCUUUGAACAGCACAGCCUGAAACACAAUGAGCAGUUCAUAGACAUCAUACAGGUGAUAAACUGUCUGACAAGUAUCUAUGACCGUUUGGAGCAGCAGCAUAGCAGCCUCGUGAACGUUCCUCUGUGUGUGGACAUGUGUCUGAACUGGUUGCUGAAUGUUUAUGACACAGGUAGGACUGGGAAAAUUCGAACCCUGUCUUUAAAAACAGGAAUAAUCUCUCUCUGCAAAGCUCAUCUUGAAGACAAAUACAGAUUUCUGUUUAGACAGGUGGCUAGUGCCACAGGUUUCUGUGACCAGCGCCGUCUUGGCCUUCUGCUGCAUGACUCGAUCCAGAUCCCCAGGCAGCUGGGUGAGGUGGCAUCAUUUGGAGGAAGCAAUAUUGAACCUAGCGUGCGCAGCUGUUUUCAGUUUGCGAAUAAUAAGCCAGAACUUGAAGCUUCAGUCUUCCUGGACUGGAUGCGUUUAGAGCCUCAGUCAAUGGUUUGGCUUCCUGUACUCCACCGUGUUUCAGCAGCAGAGACAGCCAAGCACCAGGCCAAAUGCAACAUCUGCAAGGAAUGUCCUAUUAUUGGCUUCAGGUAUAGAAGCUUAAAGCACUUUAACUACGACAUUUGCCAAAGCUGCUUUUUUUCUGGAAGAGUGGCUAAGGGUCAUAAAAUGCAAUAUCCCAUGGUUGAAUAUUGCACUCCGACAACCUCUGGUGAAGAUGUAAGAGAUUUUGCCAAGGUGCUAAAGAACAAGUUCAGGACAAAACGUUAUUUUGCCAAACACCCCCGCAUGGGCUACCUUCCUGUGCAGACCAUUCUGGAGGGUGAUAAUAUGGAGACCCCUGUUACUCUGAUCAACUUCUGGCCUGUUGACCACCCCCCAGCAUCUUCUCCACAGCUGUCCCAUGAUGAUACUCACUCACGCAUUGAACAUUAUGCUAGCAGGCUGGCUGAAAUGGAAAACAGAAAUGGGUCAUAUAUGAAUGAGAAUAUUUCUCCUAAUGAGAGCAUGGAUGACGAGCACCUACUGAUACAGCAUUACUGCCAGAGUCUUAAUCAGGGUUCCCCCUUAAACCAUCCACAAAGUCCAGCACAGAUCCUUAUUUCAAUGGAGACUGAAGAGAAGGGGGAACUUGAGAGAGUUCUCAGCGAUCUCGAGCAGGAAAAUAGGAGACUUCAGGCAGAAUAUGAUCGACUUAAAAAGGCCCAUGACCACAAGGGCUUUUCACCUCUUCCUUCGCCUCCACCAUUGCUACCUGUUUCACCGCAGAAUCGUGAUGCUGAGCUCAUUGCUGAGGCAAAACUACUAAGACAACACAAGGGUCGCUUAGAGGCAAGAAUGCAAAUUCUGGAAGACCAUAACAAGCAACUUGAAUCUCAGCUUAAGAGGCUAAGACAGCUACUAGAGCAGGUGGUGAUGAAUUGUCCGGUGCCUUCCAGCAUCCAGGCAGUGGGUUAGGAGCAUUAACUGAGCAAACCAAAUAAAUCUAUUCCACAUGGACAAGGAACUGAACAGCUAAAUCCAUAACAGGGAUUAACAUAGGAAGGCUCAUCUUUACAAUAACAUUGGAUAUGCCAUGGAAUUAUUGGUCAAUGUGAUGACAGAAGAACAGGGUUUAUACUUGCAUAUUAUGACAUCUAAAAUUGUCAUGAUAUUUACUUAUAAAAUUGCAUGCUUUUGUAGUGUGACAACUGAACAGAAUAUGUUUACAAGGGAAAAUAAAUAAAAUCUAUUUUUCUGGGUGGUCAUGGUUUCAAAUUGCUGAUUUGAGUAGUUUCGUACAGGUCUAGAAUUGUUUUAUUAUUAAAAAUGUUUUUAAUCUUCUAUGCAAUUAAAAAACAUAAAGGGUAAUAACAUUUAACACUGGUUUAAGCAUGCUCCUUUGUUUUGCAGUGUGUUAACAGCAAUUUAGUGGUUUACUAUAAUGGAAUUUUUAUUAUAGAAUGGCUUUGUCAUUAUCAUUGUUUGCAGGGAAUGACAAAUGCAUAUUAAACGUCAAUCACCUAUGGUUUGAGUUAUAUGUGUCUCUGGAUCAGUCUUCCUUAACUAUCCCACAUUGAACAAACAUAUUUUAGGGCACAUAUUUUAGCACUAUAAUAUCACUAUUUAGUGUCGAGGGCCCUUUUUUUCUUGUAAGGAUUUUUUUCCACCAUCUGGGGCUUUAUGGGGGUCUUAACAUGUUCACAAAGUCAUGUAAAAUUGGAUUUUCAGCUUGGGCUGCUAAAUGUCAUGGGCUCUACUCAAAAAUUUUCACUUUUGCAAAACGCAUAUUACAUACAAUACACUACACACAUCCUACACACACUGCACAUCCCACGCCUCCAUUUCUGCCCCAUCUGCUCACUGGUCUCGAAUCUCGUGCUGAUUAAGUUUGAUGAAAUAAUUUAAAUUGCACUUUUCAAAUCAUUCUAGUUACAUAAUUAGUUCCAGAAGAUAUAGCUAACUUCUUGGUCAGCUGAGUAGGACAAUUAAGAUUUGUUAUAAUUGCAGAUGCUUUACGCCACCAUAUAUUUUAUGUUAGGCAAAACAAUCAGAGAUCUGAGUAGAUAUCACUUUCUGAACAUGUAGCCAUUUUGCAUAAUACCUGCUUAUGCCCUUAUCCCCUGCCAAGAUGAGCACUUGCUAAUUUAUUGUAUGCAAACACUUCUACUAUUCAGAAUGUUACCUGUUAGCAAUUAAACAGAUUAAAGUAAGAAAGUAAGAUUUUGAAAAGAUUUAAAACAGACAAAGAAUUGAGAAUGCAGAUUCGGGGGGGAAAAGAAUCCUUUUAGAGGCUGAAGGAGAGACAUGCAGUUUUAUAAUGAUGGCAUUACAUGUUAAGCAUUGGUUUAGAUGAAUUGAUUAAAAAAACAAUUAGGACAGAUGGUUUAGACAUUCUAUAUAAUACACACAGACCCUUAUAACACAGGUUUUUUUAAAUCUUAUUAAAGUUUUAACAUUGCUUGAACACAGCACAACAAUACACGACUCAGAGAGAAGCACUCAGCAUGGGAGCAGUCCAGGUAAACUUGUAGAAAAAGGAGAGCAACAACCAUACACUUUUGUAAAAGCUAUCUACAAUACAGUUAAAUCUUGCUUUAAGUCCUUGGAGGAAAAUUUUACUGACAUUAUCUAAGACUAAAGGUAACUCCAAGUGAAAAUAAUUUUUGGAUAAUUGACAAUGCGCGUAUUAUUCAUUGUAAAGCGGCAGCUUACAUUUUCUAAACGACCCAUCUUCUGCACCAAGCCUACAUUAUAAGGUAAAUUAGUACCUCACUUUUCUGCAGCCCAUUCAUGGACAUGCAUAUACUGUCCACAUAUAUGCAGUUUAGGGUACAAAUGUGAAACAGACUUUAAAAAAGUUGUUACUCAUGUAUGCUGGAACGCAUAAAGGAGUUGAAAUUGACCACUUCAGCUGCAGGUGCUAAAGAAAUAAAGCAUUUUCCGAGGUCUUAGUUUUGUACAAGCUCAGU